UCCGGUCAUAUUACGUUGAAACACGGGUUCUUAUAGGAUCACCGAAGUUAAGCAAUGACGAUCCUGGCCAGUACCUCGAUUGUUGAUCGCUUGGGAAUACCAGGUGCUGAAAG
rnacentral:rRNA from 1 species